rnacentral:rRNA from 1 species
GACGAACGCUGGCGGCGUGCUUAACACAUGCAAGUCGAACGGUGAAGCGAGUGCUUGCACUCGUGGAUCAGUGGCGAACGGGUGGGUAACACGUGAGUAACCUGCCCAUCACUCUGGGAUAAGCACUGGAAACGGUGUCUAACACUGGAUACGACCAACCCUUGCAUGGGGUGUUGGUGGAAAGAUUUAUCGGUGAUGGAUGGACUCGCGGCCUAUCAGCUUGUUGGCGGGGUAAUGGCCCACCAAGGCGACGACGGGUAGCCGGCCUGAGAGGGUGACCGGCCACACUGGGACUGAGACACGGCCCAGACUCCUACGGGAGGCAGCAGUGGGGAAUAUUGCACAAUGGGCGAAAGCCUGAUGCAGCGACGCCGCGUGAGGGAUGACGGCCUUCGGGUUGUAAACCUCUUUCAGCAGGGAAGAAGCGAAAGUGACGGUACCUGCAGAAGAAGCACCGGCUAACUACGUG